CCUACGGGAGGCAGCAGUGGGGAAUUUUGGUCAAUGGGGGGGACCCUGAACCAGCCAAGUCGCGUGCGGGAAGACGGUCCUAUGGAUUGUAAACCUCUUUAGGCGGGGAGCAAUGCCGGGCACGUGUGCCCGGAGGGAGAGUACCCGCAGAAUAAGCAUCGGCUAACUCCGUCCCAGCAGCCGCGGUAAGACGAAGGAUGCGAGCGUUAUCCGGAUUUUUUGGGUUUAAAGGGUGCGUAGGCGGAUUUUUAAGUCAGCGGUAAAUGGUCCGGGCUCAACCCGGGCCGGCCGUUGAAACUGGGGAUGUUGAGUGGGCGAGAAGUAUGCGGAAUGCGUGGUGUAGCGGUGAAAUGCAUAGAUAUCACGCAGAACUCCGAUUGCGAAGGCAGCAUACCGGCGCCCGACUGACGCUGAGGCACGAAAGCGUGGGGAUCGAACAGGAUUAGAUACCCUUGUAGUC
rnacentral:rRNA from 1 species